UCUGAUGGCUCAGAGGGUAAAGUAUCUGCCUGCAAUGCGGGAGACCUGGGUUCGAUCCCUGGGUCAGAA
rnacentral:tRNA from 1 species